ensembl:lncRNA
AGUGAUUAGGAUUCUUGUACAAGAAUUUACUAGAAAAUGACAUCAGAAGAAAGAAAAUAAGGAAUGCAAAGAAGGCAAAUGAUCCUCUUUUAUUUUGGCUAUUGACAAGUUAUUGUAUCCUGUAAUACCUGUAGCUCUAAUUGCAAAAGUCCAAGUUGGAAGAGGAAGCUGAGCAAAGACCUAAUUGCAUCUGGUGACUAGCUUCAGCCUGAUCCUAUGAGGAGCUCCAGAGCAAGAAUUGUGCCACAGAAUUUGUACCAUCUUGAGGCAAGGGAGCCAUAUUUUUGUAUCCCAUGUUAGCCUUCUGAGGAGGGGAAUCAUCCCCCAGGGAAGAGGGCUCCCAUUGAUUGGGGGCAAAUCUCCAGAGGAGACAGCUGACUAACAUUCACAGCAGCUAGGAGUUAAGCAUGCCUUUCAUUAAUGUGGAUCUGAGAAGGACACCAGCAACACCACUGCAGUCGGGGCAGCACUACAUGCUGCUCAGAUCCACCUGAUUCUCACAUUACCUCUCUUCCUUCCAGGCACAACUUCUCCAACAUUUCUACCACAUAAACAUGCUGGGAGAACUUGAAAGAGAAGGUUGAUGGAUUAGACUACAGUCCCAAAUGCUACAAUUGAUUCCAAGGUUAUUCUGCAAUCUGAGGAUGAAUGCAGCUCAAUGUGUCGUUGGUUUCAUCUGGGGUCUCUCAUGUGUCUACAGUUGUCUGGGGGAUUGACUAAGACUGGAAAAUCCAAAAUGGACUUAUACCUCUUGUGCCUCAUUUUUCACUGGAUCUCCAUAAAUUCUGUCUUCUUGGGGUCCGUGGAACUGAAUCUUUGAUGAAGUGUAGAAAAGAGAUGAAGACUGUGUCAGAGGAAAUAAUUUAUCAAAAGUAAUUGUAAGAGUUUGUCAGUACUGGCAAGAGAAAGUUCUGUAUUAUCUAGUUUCAGUCUGAAUGACUUUCAGCCUUAAGACCUCCAACAGCAAGGCAAAAGAAUUGAGGAACCUGAAGUUACUCCCACCGCCCACCCACCUACUCCACUGCAUGGAGAGAGAAAAAUGAGAUGAAGCUGAUUGGGAGCUGGGAGGCUGCAGGGGGCCAUGUGGCAAGGAAGAACAGGGAGGAAUAUCAGAAACAAAGGUGACGUUCUUGUCAUCCUAGGAGGAGAUAUGUACGUGCUGAUGGACUCUAGCUUUUGACUUUAACUUUUAUUUCAAGUUCAGGGAUACAUGUGAAGCUUUGUUAUAUAGGUAAAUUCAUGUCCUGUGGGUUUGUUGAACAGAUUAUUUCAUUACUGAGGUAUUAAGCCUAGUACCCAUUAGUUAUUUUUCCUGAUGCUCUCCCACCUCUCAUCCUCCAUCCUCCAAUAGGUCCCAGUUUCUGUUUUUCUGCUCUAUGUAUGUGUUCUCAUUGUUUAGCUCCCACUUAUAGGUGAGAACAUGUAGUUUCGAUUUUCUGUUGCUGUGUUAGUUUGCUAAGAAUAAUCACCUCCAGCUCCAUCUAUGUUCCUGCAAAGGACAUGAUCUCAGUUUUUCUUAAUGGCUGCCUAGUAUUCCAUGGUGUAUAUGAACCAUAUUUUCUUUGUCCAGUCUACCACUGUGAGCAUUUAGGUUGAUUCCUUGUUUUUACUGUUUUGAAUAGUGCUGCAAUAAACAUACACAUGCAUGUGUCUUUAUGACUGAAAGAUUUAUAUUCCUUUGGGUAUAUAUAUCCAGUAGUGGGAUUGCUAAGUCAAAUGGUAUUUCAGUUUUUAGGUCAUCGAGGAAUCGUCACACUGUCUUCCACAAUAGUUAAACUAAUUGACCAUCCAACCAACCAUAUGUGUUGCUUUUUCUCUGCAACCUCACCAGCAUCUCCUGUUUUGUGACU